CCCAGUGUUCUGACUACCUGUUCACGUGACAAGCAAAUGUACAGUAGUCUGCACAUUGGUUA
rnacentral:pre_miRNA from 1 species